UAAGGAAUAUUGGUCAAUGGACGCAAGUCUGAACCAGCCAUGCCGCGUGAAGGAAGACGGCCCUACGGGUUGUAAACUUCUUUUGUACGGGAAAAAACCAUCGGUCGUGCACCGGUGUUGAUGGUACCGUAAGAAUAAGCAUCGGCUAACUCCGUGCCAGCAGCCGCGGUAAUACGGAGGAUGCAAGCGUUAUACGGAUUCAUUGGGUUUAAAGGGUGCGCAGGCGGAAUGAGAAGUCAGUGGUGAAAUCCUACGGCUCAACGGUAGAACUGCCAUUGAUACGGUCGUUCGUGAGUACACUUGGAGUGGGCGGAAUGUGUCAUGUAGCGGUGAAAUGCUUAGAUAUGACACAGAACACCGAUCGCGAAGGCAGCUCACUAAGUUGUAACUGACGCUCAGGCACGAAAGCGUGGGGAUCAAACA
rnacentral:rRNA from 1 species